UUGUGUAGCAGUGUGUGAAAGUAGUACCCUGCUCACGGCGACCGAGGCGGUGUGGUCGGCGCGGGAAACUGCUCGCCGCAUUUCGUUCCGUGGCUCAGUUCGGGUUGAAUUCGUGUCGUGUGAGGUGUGCCGUCGCGAGCAAAUCAUAUCACCAUGGCCGACCAGCUGACCGAGGAGCAGAUCGCCGAGUUCAAGGAGGCGUUCUCGCUGUUCGACAAGGAUGGCGAUGGCACCAUCACCACCAAGGAGCUGGGCACCGUGAUGCGCUCCCUGGGCCAGAACCCCACCGAGGCCGAACUGCAGGACAUGAUCAACGAGGUGGACGCGGACGGAAACGGCACCAUCGACUUCCCCGAGUUCCUCACCAUGAUGGCGCGGAAAAUGAAGGACACCGACUCAGAAGAGGAGAUCCGGGAGGCCUUCCGCGUGUUCGACAAGGACGGCAACGGCUUCAUCUCAGCUGCCGAGCUCAGGUGGGUUGUAAAAUCAGGAAAUGUGGUCAAACGCCAUGCCGGUUCCGUACUCUAUAUAGAUCGGAGGAGUUGCGAUAACAUUACGGUUUACCGGGGGCUCAGUCGAUCGCGGCCUCGCGGUUUGUUUUGUUUGUGCCGCUGUGACGUGUCGUCGGUAGUGCAGUUUUCGGUAACGGACCCCUGCAUGCCCGUAUUGAUCCAAGGUCGAGGCACUGACUCGCCUCGGCCGCAGGGUGCUGCAUUAUGUAUGGCCGUUGGCGCGAGGGUGUCGCGCCAGGGGUGGCGGUAACGGUCGGCCGGUGUGCCAGGACAGAUGGGAUUGUAAUAUGAAGAGCUCGGUUUGCACUCGGUGCCCUAGUAUUUGUUUUCCGAAGGUAUUCAUUUACAUGUCUAGCGUUGGUCAUAUGGGCGUAAACUAGACUGUCCAGCACGGCUAGGGCUAACGUUAACAAAGUUUAGCAGUUGCCCUUAACUUAGUUUUUUACACUUAUAAACAAUUAUGUUCAGGCUAAGAGCAGUCACUUGUUGCGCUUCCUAUAAAGGGGCCACAUUUCCGCAGUAGGCGAUAGCAGUAGCAAUGCGACGUUGCCAGCAUACUUAAUGACGCUUCAUGAAUGAUGCCCACUUGCCAAUGCGAUGUUGCGGUUUAAUGAUGCUCAAAAGUGCAACACGUUGAUGCGAGGCAUGUUGAUUGUUGAACCGGUGUUAAACUUAGUAACUUUCCACUGUUGAUUUACUUUCUGAAUACCAGAUCAGUUCCGUCAAACGGACAGGUUAAAUAGCUUUGCCACGCAUCCACUACUGAUGCCACUCAGUUUCUACACUUGUGCAGGCGUUUGCGGCUGACAGGUGGCGGUUAAAGUGCAGCUGGUCUAUUCAUUGUCUGGCCGGGGCGGGCCUCUGGUGACUGGCAGUCGGCUGGCUCCCAGACGGUGCUCUAACGGCCGUCUGGCCGGGCCUGGCGUGCGUUCAGGUGCCAAAUGGCCGCCGGUGGAGACAGACCACCCGAGAUUCCUGAGGGAUGGCGUCAUUUCAGCGUAACGGCUGCAUUCUUUCUCUGGAAUUAGCAGUGUGGACGUCGUAUGACCGGAGACGCCAACUGAAAGCUAAACGUUAAUCGCGCAUUGGCCUAAAACAGCAUUUCCGAUCGGAACAAUGCUUAUCGGACAAAUCCGAAUGUGAAAUGGGGCAGAGUGAGCUAGAGUGACAAGUUUUUCAGCCGAAUUAAAAUGUUUGCUAUCGAGACAUGCUGCACGAUUGCAUUGUUGGAUGGUUGUCGUUCAUUGAUUGACCUCGUUGUCUUUUGUCGUCAGGCACGUGAUGACCAACCUGGGUGAGAAGUUGACAGACGAGGAGGUGGACGAGAUGAUCCGGGAGGCCGAUAUCGACGGAGACGGCCAGGUCAACUACGAAGAGUUCGUCACAAUGAUGACGUCCAAGUGAGCAGCGGAACAACCGGUGCGUGCCGUAUUACAACAGAGCAUCGUGACAAUAUAGGUGCUAUAUUGUGCGGUGCGGGCGUGGCGGCGGACGGCUCGGCGCCAGACGCCAACUGGCGGGCCGAGACCUUCAGUCCUCUACAUUCCUGAUUUUUAUACGUCUCCACUGUGGUAGCUGGGGUCGCCCGGUAGCCGCGAUCGUCGCCAUGCGCUGUCGUCACCGCUCUUCGUGUCCACCAUUUAUUCUCCGUGUUCCCCCGUGAUGCGUUCUGUUUGCGUUUCCAGCGUGGUUCUGGUUUUAUUUAUGGGCGCUAGGCGUAUUGUGAAAGCGGGCUAGGGCUCGCCAGAAGUGGAGGGUACAUGCCGAUACCAAUGUCAGUCAAACGUGAUUUUAACAGUGAUUUAGCGUGAAGAGCAUGGUAAUAUAUGACUGAGAUCAGAGUGAAAA
rnacentral:misc_RNA from 1 species